CGGCGAGCGGCGGACGGCUGAGUAACGCGUGGGAAUCUGCCCCAAAGUGAGGGAUAACUGCCCGAAAGGGUAGCUAAUACCGCAUAUGGUCUUCGGAUUAAAGCAUUUAUGCGCUUUGGGAGGAGCCCGCGUCGGAUUAGGUAGUUGGUAGGGUAAUGGCCUACCAAGCCGACGAUCCGUAGCUGGUCUGAGAGGAUGAUCAGCCAGACUGGGACUGAGACACGGCCCAG
rnacentral:rRNA from 1 species